rnacentral:piRNA from 1 species
UAAAAGUGUCGACUCACUGAUUCCCUACUUA